ensembl:lncRNA
GUGGAAAUGCUAAGUCACGGCCAGAAGCAGUAAUUGAGCACCUGGUGGGAAGGCAGGGCCAACCCAGGGAAGCUCAGGUGCAUGCAAUGCACCUGAGUGGCUGGAAGAGGUGGAAUCAGGAUCCACCCCUUCCCAGACCUCAUUUAAGGGCUGGCAGUGGAGGUGAGGAUAUCUCUUGUUGGAGAUUUCUACCUACCAGAGGCCUUCUAAAGCACAGGUCAUGCUGCGUGCUGUUCUGAUACAAACUGUUAGAACUCUAAAAUGCAGAAUCCUGAUUGCUGGACCUGAAGGAAGCAAAGGUACUUGAUGUUCACUACUGUGGAAUGCAGUUGAAACUUAAACUAAAUGGAAAAGAUUGAAGACCAAGGGGAGAGAACGAGGACCAACCUCUGUUGGGAAGACCCCAGGCCUAGCAGUAAGGCAGCAGCAGUCUCACGAGGCUGCUGCUGGCCCAGAAGAUUCUGCAGCAGACCCACGCCAUGAGCUCACCCCACACCAACCCCCGCUGCUUAUCUCAGCCUGGCUCAGAUGCUGCUCAGGACCUCCCUGCCACAGCCCUGCCUUGAAUCAGAUGGGACAUAAACUCACCCUUUGAACUGUCCCAAGACCCUGCUUGACUUGUGAAGAUGCUUUGCAACUGCUGCUUCAGCACUGCUGCUCUGGUGCUUCUGCACCAUUAUGGUGGGGAUUGGGAACCUUCCACUAGCAGGAAACCUACAUGAGCUGAGAGGAGCAUUCAGCAGGAGCCCAUGAGAGCAGAGGAUCCACAUCUGGCUGAGGAUAAAGAUGCAGUAGAUCCAUG